UACCAGCACCCCGAGUGGUCGGGACGAUUAUUGGGCCUAAAGCAUCCGUAGCCGGUUUUACAAGUCCUCCGUUAAAUCCAACUGCUUAACAGAUGGGCCGCGGAGGAUACUAUAAGACUAGGAGGCAGGAGAGGCAAGCGGUACUCAGUGGGUAGGGGUAAAAUCCGUUGAUCCAAUGAAGACCACCAGUGGCGAAGGCGGCUUGCCAGAAUGCGCUCGACGGUGAGGGAUGAAAGCUGGGGGAGCAAACCGG
rnacentral:rRNA from 1 species